rnacentral:lncRNA from 1 species
AGGUUCUUUCUAUUUUCCAUAAAUGUUGGCCGGCUGAGAAAUAAAGAGUACAAAGAGCGGAAUUUUACAGCUGGGCCACCGGGGGUGACAUCACAUAUUGGUAGGACCGUGAUGCUCACCUGAGCCGUAAAACCAGCAGGUUUUUAUUAAGGAUUUCAAAAGGGGAGGGAGUAUAUUCCUUGCUAGGAAAAGAAUUCAGCAAUAUCUUCCCUACUUGCACGUCCAUUUAUAGGCUCUCUGCAAGAAGAAAAAUAUGGCUCUUUUUGCCUGACCCCGCAGGCAGUCAGACCUUAUGGUUGUCUUCCCUUGUUCCCUAAAAAUUGCUGUUAUUCUGUUCUUUUUCAAGGUGCACUGAUUUCAUAUUGUUCAAACACACGUUUUAUAAUCAAUUUGUACAGUUAACACAAUUAUCAUAGUGAUCCUGAGGUGACAUACAUGCUCAGCUUAUGAAGAUAACAGGAUUAAGAGAUUAAAGUAAAGACAGGCAUAAGAAAUUAUAAAAGCAUUAUUUGGGAACUGAUAAAUGUCCAUAUUAAAAUAAAAUCUUCACAAUUUAUGUUCUUCUGCCACAGCUCCAGCUGGUCCUUCCAUUCGGGGUCCCUGACUUCCCGCAACAUAGAACCCUCAAAUAGAUGAAGGUGGAGCUUCUUGGGUAGAGACUGGAGGAUUGGGGUGUUGCCCACCGGGCCUUACGGACUCUCCUGAGUGAUCUGAGUCACCUCCAAAGAGCUAGGUGUCAACUCCAAAACACCCUGUGUCCCUUUCUUCCAUUUAGUAAUCGAAGCCUUACCACCAGAGGUUUGGCAGGGCACGUUGAAGGGGUGGGUUGCCCCUCCACACCUGUGGGUGUUUCUCGUUAGGUGGAACGAGAGACUUGGAAAAGAAAAAGACACAGAGACAAAGUAUAGAGAAAGAAAUAAGGGGGCCCGGGGAACCAGCGUUCAGCAUAUGGAGGAUCCCGCCAGCCUCUGAGUUCCCUUAGUAUUUAUUGAUCAUUUGUGGGUGUUUCUCCGAGAGGGGGAUGUGUCAGGGUCACAAGACAAUAGCGGGGAGAGAGUCAGCAGACAAACACGUGAACAAAGGUCUUUGCAUCAUAGACAAGGUAAAGAAUCAAGUGCUGUGCUUUUAGAUAUGCAUACACAUAAACAUCUCAAUGCUUUACAAAGCAGUAUUGCUGCCCGCAUGUCCCACCUCCAGCCCUAAGGCGGUUUUUCCCUAUCUCAGUAGAUGGAACGUAAAUUGGGUUUUAUACCGAGACAUUCCAUUGCCCAGGGACGGGCAGGAGACAGAUGCCUUCCUCUUGUCUCAACUGCAAGAGGCAUGCCUUCCUCUUAUACUAAUCCUCCUCAGCACAGACCCUUUACGGGUGUCGGGCUGGGGGACGGUCAGGUCUUUCCCUUCCCAUGAGGCCAUAUUGCAGACUAUCACAUGGGGAGAAACCUUGGACAAUACCUGGCUUUCCUCAGCAGAGGUCCCUGCGGCCUUCCGCAGUGUUUGUGUCCCUGGGUACUUGAGAUUAGGGAGUGGUGAUGACUCUUAAGGAGCAUGCUGCCUUCAAGCAUCUGUUUAACAAAGCACACCCUGCACAGCCCUUAAUCCAUUUAACCCUGAGUUGACACAGCACACGUUUCAGGGAGCACAGGGUUGGGGGUAAGGUCACAGAUUAACAGAAUCUCAAGGCAGAAUUUUUCUUAGUACAGAACAGAAUGGAGUCUCCUACGUCUACUUCUUUCUAUACAGACACAGUAACAAUCUGAUCUCUCUUUCUUUUCCCCACAGCACGUGCCCAGCUUCCUUUCAAGUCUCUGGCCAAUGCAAUGUGAGCAGAAGUGAAGGGGCAACUUUCAGGUGAUGACUUGGAAAAGAAAGCUUAGUCCUCUGCUUCUCCUGUCACCCGAAAGAGAAACAGAGGCUUGUCUUGUUGAAGCCAGUGUGUUUGGUGUCUUUUUGUAUAGUGGCUUAGACAGUGGCCUAACUAGAAGACCAAGGCUCAAAGGAACACAUUUUGAGCUUCUCCACAGUUUGAGAACCUCUACAUUACCUACACCAAGCCUUCCCCAGCACUCAAUUUAUGGAAGACCAUUUCUCUUCUCAUGACACAUGUCCUCAUGUUGCUUUGGCCUGUUUUAAAGCUUUCUCAACUCCAUCUCAAUAAAGAAAUCUGCAGCUUUGUUGGAUGAGAGGAUCUAAAAAGUUCGUUCUUCCAAUCGGUUGUAAAUAUAGACACUAAUUUAUAAACUGACACAGGAACACACAGCAAAUUAGUAGAAAAUCCGAUUCCUGUUCCCUUUUCUCCUUGCAUUGUUUCCUGCCAAUGCUCACCAUUUCUUUAUCCUUUCCACUCUUCCUUGCUCCUCCUUCCCUUUAAUUUUUCUCUGUUGUGCCUAAAUAAGCUGUCCAUGCAUGGCACUCCAUGGGCUCUGAUAACAGACUCAACAAGACAAUGACUUAAAGAUGGAGUGACCAGCUGAUCAGUCACACAAGUUGUUCCAGUGUAAUUAUUUUCACAGGUGUCUCAGUUUGGAUGAUAAAUUAUAUGAACACUCUACUUACAGAACAAAGACCUUUAUUUAUGUCUCUCUUGCUUCAAAGUCCAAGGUGAGCAUGCCUGCCUGGCAGCUCUGCCUCAAUUCCUUUUAAAUCAUUCCUUUGUCAUACUUCAGCACACUGCUGUCAUCUGUAUGGUUGAGCUGGACUGCUGCCAUGUUGAGUCACCAGUGACUUUUUGAUUCUUUAAUUCCCAGUUUGACUGGCAUUCCUCUGUGUGUGUGUAUUUAGUUCUAUGCAGUUUUAUCACAUGUGUAGGCUUGUGUAACCACUGCCACAGCCAAGAUACAGAACAGCCAA